AUGCAGGAACCUUCCCACUCAUGCUGUGUUUUGUUUUGCUACCUACUGGUACAUGGAGCAGGCAGCUGCUUGGGAGAGGCUUCCAUUGAACACAGGGGUGGGGCUGUGAGUGAGAGGGUAGGGCAUCCCUUUUUCUUUUCUUUUCUUUUGUUUCUGCUGCUUGCCCCACAGCAGGGAUUGCUCCAAGGUUGUCUUUUGGGGGCAGGGGAGAGCUCAGUGGAAAUGCAGAAACAUUACAAGUAUUGUUAUUGCCUCCUCAUACAGAGUUUUGAGAAGCUUGUAGAUGACGUUCAGCCUCAAACAUCACACUACUCUGGGCCAGAAUUGUUCAGCUACUACUCCGCUGCCAACACUUGACAUGGAAUCCUGGAGGGUCAGGGUUCAGCCCCAAAUUGACGAGCCACGCCGGGUUAUGGUAUGGAAUUACAGAUGACAAUUUAUAUAUAGAUUUUGUUGGUCCUUAGAAAAAUGAGCUAACAGUGUGAGUCACUAUAAGUGUGUAACUUCUAUAUCAGAUAUGUCAGUGGGGGAAACAUUGGAAUUUUUCUUACCAUGAAUUUCUGUUUUAAGAUGCCUUCUGGAGGCCAUUCCCAAGGUUAAGGAAUGCUCUCUGGAAGACUCUUAAAAAGAGGUUUGUCUCAAACACUUGGAAAUAUGGUAUCAACAUCCUUCAUAGGGAGCUUGACGAAGUAUAUCAUUAUCAAAGAGGGGGCUAAAAGGCAGGAGAAACAGUAUGCAGAAUUGUAUCUACUGCCUAGAAGAUUAAGCUGUUAUCAGUUAUGAUUUGUUUGAAUUCUUGCAUUGUCUUUAAAAAGUUAUUAAUAGCCUUACAAUCAAGCUCUUGAUUUAUUUAGAACUUUAAUAACAACAACACACAACUGAGUGAAGCAAAGGGCAAAGUCAAAAGCUAAAGUAUUAUAAGGUUGAUAUAAUAGAUGGUAAGGUUGAUCUUAUUGCUUACUGUUCACAACAGUGAUCCAAACAUUUCACCACCCCCAUUCCAAAGUGGGGAACUCUGGCACUCUCCUCAGCUUACCUGCAUGUGCUAUAUACUGACUGACUGUUUGAAAAGAGAGAUCAAAAACAAGUUAUGGGCAGUCUAGAUUAUCCCCAUUCAAAAUAAGAAAAGACAGACACAAGGCUACUUAAAAGUGAGGCUGCACUUCUUCACUGUUCAACACCUAUUAUCAACAAUAAUAAUUUAUUUGGGCAGGAAGAGACCAUUCACAUUCUCUCCCAGAUCUUUGUCUUAUUUUUCUGUUCUCCAACUGCAGCUCAUCUACAAGCUAUGUUAGCUGAUGCCUUCUAGCCAAUAUAUCUAGAGCUCCCUACAUACCCAACAACCAGAGCAGCACUAGAGUAAGAGUUGGAAAUCCUGUGGAACAAGAGUGAAAUGAAUGAAGGUUGUCACGAUAGCUACAGAGUACCUCCAGGCCCUUUGCCCUGGCAGAAGAAUCUGAUGCUUUCUUCACUUGAUAGGAUAGCCACCUUCAAAUAUCUCAAGGGUUGAUACAUGGAAGAUGCAGCAAGCUUGUUUUCUCCUGCUCCAAGGGGGUGGACUUGAACCAAUGGAUUCAAGUUACAAGAAAGGAGAUUCCGACUAAACAUCAGGAAAAACUUUCUGACACUAAGAGCUGUUCAACAGUCAAAUGGAGGUUUUUAAGCAGAGGUUGGAUGGCCACUCAUCAUGGAUGCUUUAGUUGAGAUUGCUUUAGUUGGACUUAAUGACCCUUGGAGUCCCUUCCAACUCUACAUUUCUAUGAUUCAUUUGCUAAUCUCCUGAUUUCCUCCAAAGGUUGGUCACUGUGUACCUGCAUUGCACUUCACACUGCAGUACUCUUGCAGGCUUGGUUUAGAUAAUGGCAGAUGAAAUACCAAAAGCAAGAAAAACUGAAGAUGAGUCAUGGCCAACUUAGAAGUCAUUUUCUUUUACUGCUUUGCAGCCACAAUGCUGUCUAUUCCUUCCCACAUUUAUUACAAACAGCAUUCAGUAGAAUGCAACCACUUAAGCUUAAGCACUGUGACAACAAUGUUAUUUAUAGGACACCAUGGUCAAAGCAAACAAUUUGCAUCAAACUAUAUUACACCACUUAAAAAAACAACAACCACAAGUUGACAAUAAUAAUAUUCUCCAAAGUCACAUACUUCAUGACAAAUGCAUCUUUCCCCCCCUAAUUAGAUGGGUCGAUGGCAUUGACAUGUGUGCGUAAAUGCAUAGCCACUUUCACUCCAGGAAAUGCAGCAGGAUGUAAAACAAUUGAAUGUGAGGAAUGCUGCAUGUGAACACAUUCCGAAUAAUCAAACAAAUAAUCUGAUUAAGUUACAAAGGACAGCUACUACUGAGUUGUAAAUUACCUAACGCACAUACCAAAUCCAACUAUAAAAGUCAAAUCUGUAUUUAUGGAGAUUAUGUGAAAAGCUUCUUAGAAGUGGGGUUUUUUAAAUCCCUAAUGGAAUAGUAUAAUCUUUUUUAAACAAAACAAAACAAAAAACCUUUACUAUAAAUUGCCAGGAUUGUACCACCGGCUCUGAUUUAUACCAAAUCCAGCUGAAAUGUUGGUCAGAUAGAUUUCCGGUUUCCAAAGCACAAAAAAAGAUGUUGGAAAUCAGUUGAUGUAGAAAUUAAAGAAUGAUUUAGUAAUUUCUAAAGUAGCCAAUAAUUGUUCCUGCACCUGAGAACCUGAUGGACAGUUUUAUAUGGGAGUAAAAAGUGACAAUUUUGUUAUUCAUAUCAAAUGGUCAGAAUUCCAAUACAGCAUCCUUGGACUGAAUUGUUUUAUGCAUGACCUCCUUAAGGGUUUUUCCUUGUCAAAUGGAGUAAUUAUCACAUUGCCUACCACUAUUAGGUAUAUUCAUGAUACAGAAUGAUAAAUAAGAAAGCAUUUCAAGAAAAAAGGAAAAGGAUAAGCAAAUAAUAUAGGUAUAUCAAUACAUACACUCAUAGACUUCCCUAUUAGGAAAGUUUGGAGCGUUUGGGACUUUCUAGUUUAGAGAAAAGGUGAGUAAGAUGUGACUUGAUAGAAAUUUAUAAAAUUAUGCAUGACAUGGAGAAAGUAGAUAGUAGUUUUUUCUCCCUUGUAGCACUACAGCUUGUGGACAUCCAGUGAAGCUCAAUGUCGGAAAAUUCAGGGCAGAGUAUUUUUUCACACAGCACAAAGUUGAACUAUGGAACUUGCUCCCACAGGAGGCAGUGAUGACCACCAGCUUGGAUGGCUUUAAAAGAGGAUUGGACAACUUCAUGGAGGGUAAGGCUAUCAACUUUCUACAAUGGCUAUUCUUCUACUUCCACUGUCAGAGGCAGCAUGUCUCUGAAUACCAGUUGCUGAGAAUCAUGGGUGGGCAGAGUGCUGCUGCACUCAUGUCCCUUUAUUGGACUUCCCACAGGCAUCUGGCUGACCACUGUGAGAACAGGGUGCUGGACUAGAGGGGCCACUGGCCUGAUCCAGCAGGCUCUUAAGUUCUUAGACUUUGAAAAUGGCUUGCAAUUUACAAAGAAAUGUGGAUCAAGAAUAAAUUAAAUAAAAAUAUGGUUUCUGUACACAUUAUCUUCCAUAAACAUUCUAAGGGAAGACCCAUUUCCUAGGAAGUACCUUCUGCAGGCACAUGUAAUUAUCUCUUUUCCAUACUGUUCACGUGGUAUGUUUAUGUUACAACUGGGCUCGGCUUUUUGUUGGUUUGUUUCCUUCGAUUCAACCUGAUUUGGUUCAGUUAAAGAGGUAGGGUGUAAAUAGGAGAGUUGGUGAAAACUGAAAGCCUAUUUCUUUCCCCUGGAGAACAAAUCCUGAUUUGAACAAAAUGGAAAGUGUGAAGCCACCCCUCAAGUCUUUGGGCGGCCUUUUCCACUUGAACAUCUCCAGCCGCCAAGUACGGUCCCCUCUGUCCAUUCAGAGAACAAGAGGUGCUACAACAAGAAGAUGGUGAACAAUUUUAUCAU
ensembl:lncRNA